AUCGCUUCUCGGCCUUUUGGCUAAGAUCAAGUGUAAAAUCUGCAUCUUAUGAUAUCUAAUGUUUCUAACAAAGUUUGAAAAUACUCAAAGGAAAGAAUUUCUUGUUUACUUCCUUUUCUUUUCUGAAAAAGACAUCAAUGCGUCUCUUUCCCCUGACAGUGUCUUGUCAUCUUUGUACUACUU
ensembl:snRNA LOC120096403 U2 spliceosomal RNA